rnacentral:rRNA from 1 species
AGCUCCAAUAGCGUAUAUUAAAGUUGUUGCAGUUAAAAAGCUCGUAGUUGAAUUUCUGGCUAGCGCUGCGCAUGGCUCUCUGAGCCGGCGUUGUCGUUUAGUCAUCCGUAUGGGGAAGCUAGCUCGGCCUUCACUGGUCGGCUAGUGGAUCAUACACUUUACUUUGAAAAAAUUAGAGUGUUUCAGGCAGGCAAUUGCUUGGAUACUUCAGCAUGGAUAAUGGAAUAGGACUUUGACCUAUUUGUUGGUUUCUUCGAGGUCAAGGUAAUGAUUAAUAGGGACAGUUGGGGGCAUUCAUAUUUAAUUGUCAGAGGUGAAAUUCUUGGAUUUAUUAAAGAUGAACUUAUGCGAAAGCAUUUGCCAAGGAUGUUUUCA